AUUGAACGCUGGCGGCAGGCCUAACACAUGCCAGUCGAGCGGAUGAAGGGAGCUUGCUCCUGGAUUCAGCGGCGGACGGGUGAGUAAUGCCUAGGAAUCUGCCUGGUAGUGGGGGAUAACGUCCGGAAACGGGCGCUAAUACCGCAUACGUCCUGAGGGAGAAAGUGGGGGAUCUUCGGACCUCACGCUAUCAGAUGAGCCUAGGUCGGAUUAGCUAGUUGGUGGGGUAAAGGCCUACCAAGGCGACGAUCCGUAACUGGUCUGAGAGGAUGAUCAGUCACACUGGAACUGAGACACGGUCCAGACUCUUACGGGAGGCAGCAGUGGGGAAUAUUGGACAAUGGGCGAAAGCCUGAUCCAGCCAUGCCGCGUGUGUGAAGAAGGUCUUCGGAUUGUAAAGCACUUUAAGUUGGGAGGAAGGGCAGUAAGUUAAUACCUUGCUGUUUUGACGUUACCAACAGAAUAAGCACCGGCUAACUUCGUG
rnacentral:rRNA from 1 species